UAAAGAUCCGUCGGAUGAGGAUAGGCUCGCGUGACAUUAGCUUGACGGCGGGGUAACGGCCCACCGUGGCGACGAUGUCUAGGGGUUCUGAGAGGAAGGUCCCCCACACUGGAACUGAGACACGGUCCAGACUCCUACGGGAGGCAGCAGUGAGGAAUAUUGGUCAAUGGCCGGAAGGCUGAACCAGCCAUGCCGCGUGAAGGUCAGUGCCCUAUGGGCGUUAAACUUCUUUUGUGCGGGAGCAAUAAGGUCCACGUGUGGACCGACGAGAGUACCGUACGAAUAAGCAUCGGCUAACUCCGUGCCAGCAGCCGCGGUAAUACGGGGGAUGCAAGCGUUAUCCGGAUUUAUUGGGUUUAAAGGGUGCGUAGGCUGUGAGGUAAGUCAGCGGUGAAAUGCCCCCGCUCAACGGGGUGAAGUGCCAUUGAUACUGCCUUGCUGGAAUGCGGAUGCCGUGGGAGGAAUGUGUGGUGUAGCGGUGAAACGCAUAGAUAUCACACAGAACACCGAUUGCGAAGGCAUCUCACGAAUCCGCUAUUGACGCUGAUGCACGAAAGCGUGGGUAUCAAACAGGAUUAGAUACCCUGGUAGUCCACGCUGUAAACGAUGAUGACUAACCGUCGGCGAUACACAGUCG
rnacentral:rRNA from 1 species